rnacentral:tRNA from 1 species
GCCGAGGUAGCUCAGCUGGGAGAGCGUCCGGCUGAAGACCGGAAGGCCCGGGGUUCAAAUCCCCGCCUCGGCA